rnacentral:misc_RNA from 1 species
GGAGGAGCCGUGUUACUAUUCACUGUGCUUUCUCAGUCUGUCUCAGCCUCUUAAUUUUCUUUUUUUCUAUUGUUCUUUACACGUUCUUUGAUCUCACCGUCUACCACAAUGUCGGUUAACUCCCUGGCCGUUGGAUCAUUAUAUGUGUCGCGAUCUCGGAGCCGGAGGGGUGUUCCUCCCAUUAGGAUGACUGUCCGAUCUAACAUCGUCUCGGUGGCUCCAUUCCUGACCAAGUUACAAAGGGACUCUGCAACUCCUUUGCCAGUUUUGCGGUACGUGGCCGACGCCAUGACCACUGAUAUGCGAGCUGGACUUGCCACUGAUGGUGGUAGCGAUCUAAAGAUGAUACUGAGCUAUGUUGAUUGCUUGCCUAGCGGGAAUGAGAAAGGAUUGUUUUAUGCAUUGGAUCUUGGUGGCACUAAUUUCCGGGUUCUGAGAGUGCAAUUAGGUGGGAAGCAAGAGCGAGUGAUUGCCACUGAAUUUGAGCAAGUUUCUAUCCCUCAAGAGCUAAUGUUUGGUACUUCUGAGGAACUUUUUGAUUUUAUUGCGUCUGGAUUGGCAAAUUUUGCUAAAAAAGAAGGUGGGAAAUUUCACCUGCCACAUGGAAGGAUAAGAGAGAUUGGAUUCACAUUUUCUUUCCCUGUGAAGCAAACGUCCAUUGACUCUGGCAUACUGAUCAAGUGGACCAAGGGUUUUGCGGUGUCUGGAUCGGUUUGUAUAUUUCAAUUAGUUUUGAAACUACAUAAAUGGUGCCCAUGAAACUGGUAACAAAAAAUCCCGAAUGAACGAAAUAGGAGUAACAUGAUAAAUGGCUUAAUUUUGAAAUGAUAUUGCUUUGCAAGAUUAAAAACAUUUCAUUUUUUAAUUGGGGUAAAACUCGCGUCUUGAAAGCCUUCUGCUUUUGUUCUACAUACAUUAACUACAUUGCUCUGGGAUAAUAAGAACUUGGGCACUUGCAUUGUAAAGCAAUUUGAUUGAGUCAUAGUUCUUUAAUAUUGCUGAUCUAAACUUGAUACUUAAUGCAGGCUGGACGAGAUGUUGUUGCUUGUCUAAACGAAGCAAUGGAAAGGCAAGGAUUAGAUAUGCGGGUGUCUGCCCUGGUAUGUUGUUCUCAUUCUAGUAUCCUCAAUAAUAAAGUUUAUGGGCUGAUAGAAGUAACAAAAUUUAUUGCAAAUUGAUGGAGAAUAGGUUAAUGAUACUGUGGGAACUUUAGCGGGAGCAAGAUACUGGGAUGAUGAUGUCAUGGUUGCUGUCAUUUUGGGUACUGGAACUAAUGCUUGCUAUGUUGAACGGAUAGAUGCUAUUCCAAAACUACGUGGUCCAGAAUCAUUUUCUGGAAGAACGAUUGUUAAUACUGAAUGGGGAGCAUUUUCGAAUGGUAUUCCUUUGACUGAAUAUGAUAGAGAUAUGGAUGCUGCAAGUAUCAAUCCUGGCGAGCAGAUAUUUGAGAAGACAAUUUCUGGAAUGUAUCUAGGAGAAAUUGCACGACGAGUGUUAUUGAAGAUGGCUGAAGUAGGUGAUCUAUUUGGAAAAUCUGUGCCAGAAAAAUUAUCCACCCCUUUUGCACUCCGGUAACUACAUCUUCCUUGUUAAAAUUUCCUUCACUUUAUUCAUGUCAUUCAAAGGUUAAAAAACUAGUAAAUAUGAACCAACAGAAUUGGUAUCUUGUCGAGUUGUCAUCAGCAGGCUGUUGUUGUUUUUUGUCAUAUCAUUACCACAAAUGGAAGCUUUCUUCUUAUUUUGAAUUGCACAUUGGUGUUAAAUGUAAUGCCAAUGAAACUCCUAAAUCAAUAAUCUUCCGUCAGAUAUUUGCUUGUUAAAUGCACAUCUGUUGCAUAACAAAGACCAAGGAAUAGAAAGUUUGAUUUAUAUAAAAAUUUAUCUUCUUAAUUCCUGGAAUAGACUGUUAGCUAGUUCAGUAAAAUGUUUAACCUUUUCUCAUGGCUCCAUAUUCCCUAAACUAUGAAUUUAUAAUUCUCUUGUUUAUGGAUAGUUUUUGUUAUAUUAAAACCUUAAUCUGAAGCUAGUAUUGUAAGGAAACUUCAGGUGUUUUGUGUUUUAGUUAUUCAUUUAAAAUUUACAUAAUAGCGAUCUUUUCUCUUCCCCUAAUUUUUUCACUCUUCGGUUGAAUUAUUUUUUUUGCCCCUUGUACUGAAGCAUAUUCUCAUUUGUAUAUCAGUACCCCAGAUCUAUGUGCUAUGCAGCAGGACAACUCUGAUGAUCUUCAAUCUGUUGGAUCAAUCCUAUACAAUGUCGUUGGGGUAAUACUAACUCUUCCUAGAUGUGUCAAAUGAUUUGAUCUAUCUCCCAUUAUGAGGCUUUUGUUUUGCUAUUUAUAUAGGGGACAAAAUACGCAUAAAGAAAGAUGAAAGGAUUUGUGUAAAACUUCAAUCUUUUCUCCUAACUUCCAUAGGAAUUUUAUACAAUCACUUGAAUCUUUAUAUCCAACUUUGAUUUAGGCCGAAUCCAGCUUAAGUGCAAGAAAGAUUGUGGUAGAGGUUAGUGAUGCCAUCGUGAAGAGAGGGGGGCGCUUAGCUGGUGCUGGAAUUGUUGGGAUUCUGCAAAAGAUGGAGGAGGAUUCCAGAGGUCUGAUAUUUGGAAAGAGAACAGUGGUGGCUAUGGAUGGUGGCCUGUAUGAGCACUACCCUCAGUAUAGAAGAUACUUAAAAGAAGCUGUGACAGAGCUUCUGGGGUUAGAAAUUUCAAAGAACAUAGUUAUAGAACAUUCAAAAGAUGGGUCUGGUAUUGGAGCUGCUCUCCUGGCUGCAACAAAUUCCAAGUAUGAUCAUGACUAUUAGGUUAGCCAAUGGUCCGAAUUGCCAAGAAUGCAACUUAUUUUUUGUGUAAUUAAUCAAAGCACAUUACUUGGCUUGGUUUCUUUAUUGUGUAGUAAAAUCAAUAAUAAAAAGGAGGAGAAAAUUUUGGUUUAGGAAUUCAGCAGCUUUGUAUGUAGAACAACAAAUAAUUGUGUGAACUAAUAAUAGAUCAUUAGUUUAACAAAUUUUCAAUUUAAAGUUUCGUCACUUCUGAAUGAAAAUAAAU